rnacentral:rRNA from 1 species
UACGGGGGGAGCAAGCGUUGUUCGGAUUUACUGGGCGUAAAGGGCGCGUAGGCGGUCAGCACAAGUCAGUUGUGAAAUCUCCGGGCUUAACUCGGAAAGGUCAACUGAUACUGUGCGACUAGAGUGCGGAAGGGGCAACUGGAAUUCUCGGUGUAGCGGUGAAAUGCGUAGAUAUCGAGAGGAACACCUGCGGCGAAGGCGGGUUGCUGGGCCGACACUGACGCUGAUGCGCGAAAGCCAGGAGAGCGAACGGG